rnacentral:tRNA from 1 species
AUUUAGAUAGCUUAAAAAUUAAAGCAUAAUAUUGAAGAUAUUAAGAUAAUUUAAAUAUUUUUAAAUA